CGCAGCGCCCCCUGGGGACGGGCGCUGGGAUCUCAGGGAGGCGGUGCCGAGGAGCGCGGACGUAGGAGAGUGGGUGGAAUCAGGUUUCCUGAAUUGCCUGCUCCGCGGUGUUUGAUGGCUGCAAGCUGAGUUACCGAAGUAGCUCGCGGAGCUUUUUGCGGGGACAAUUCCUUAGGAUUCUACCACCUUGCCGCGAAGCCCACUCCUACUCCUCUGCUCACGUCCUUUCCAUCCUCGAAAUGACGGAUUAUUGUAGACUUCUUGAGCAUGGGGCCAUGGCCUAAAUUGCUUCAUAUCCCCGUUGGCACUCACCAAGCAACUAUCAUGCUGCCUUGCACAUGUAGAUACGAAAUUUGCUCUGGUUCAGUGGAGAGAAAUGAGUUCUAAGUGUUCUCCAACUUAACGGAUGCGCUGGUUGAGCUUGGAAAAGUCUUUUGGAACUUCGACUACGUUUUUCCCAAUGAAAAUAUAUUAUAAAUGACUUUCUAAGGCAGCUGCACCUCUUCAGCUGUGUGUUUCCAUUAAGACCAUCUUCUAGGAAAUCUAGAGGCUCUCAAGGACCUGGCUGGGCUCCAGCUCUAUGGCUGAAUUUGAGAUGAGUAAACCCGGCGGAAGGACCCUGCUCAAGGCUUGCUUCAGCUGCCAACAACCCACACUAGCCAAGAGAGAGGGGAGGGCAGCUUGAUCACCUCUGGAGGGAACACCUCUGCCAUAAGAAAGCCAUCCCCAACCCCGGCACAGGAAGAGCUGGGUUGCAGUCUACCAUUAGCAGCCUUCUUCUUCAGAAGACACCUCUCUGGAUCUCAGUGUCCUCAUUUUGGAAUAAGACCCUUAGGCUAGCACUUUCCAAGACUCACCCAGACUUCAGCGGAUACUCCUGGCUCUUGGAUGCGCUGGAAUCUCUGGAGGACUGGCUGCUGGAAUGGGUUAGCCUGGAGGCGGUCAGACUGUCCUUCUCCAACCACAGAAGAGCCAUCACCA